UACGUAGGGAGCAAGCGUUGUUCGGAUUUACUGGGCGUAAAGGGCGCGUAGGCGGCAAAUUAAGUCAGCUGUGAAAUCUCCGAGCUUAACUCGGAACUGUCAGCUGAUACUGAUCUGCUAGAGUGCGGGAGGGGCAAUCGGAAUUCUUGGUGUAGCGGUGAAAUGCGUAGAUAUCAAGAGGAACACCUGAGGUGAAGACGGGUUGCUGGGCCGACACUGACGCUGAGUGCGCGAAAGCCAGGGGAGCAAACGGG
rnacentral:rRNA from 1 species